rnacentral:rRNA from 1 species
AGACAGCAGUCGCCGCGGUAAUACGUAGGGUACGAGCGUUAAUCGGAAUUACUGGGCGUAAAGCGUGCGCAGGCGGUUUUGUAAGACAGGCGUGAAAUCCCCGGGCUCAACCUGGGAAUGGCGCUUGUGACUGCAAAGCUAGAGUGCGGCAGAGGGGGAUGGAAUUCCGCGUGUAGCAGUGAAAUGCGUAGAUAUGCGGAGGAACACCGAUGGCGAAGGCAAUCCCCUGGGCCUGCACUGACGCUCAUGCACGAAAGCGUGGGGAGCAAACAGGAUUAGAUACCCGCGUAGUCCCUGUCUCUUAUAC